UACGUAGGGCGCGAGCGUUGUCCGGAAUUAUUGGGCGUAAAGAGCUCGUAGGUGGCUUGUCGCGUCUGCCGUGAAAGCCCGUGGCUUAACUACGGGUCUGCGGUGGAUACGGGCAGGCUAGAGGCUGGUAGGGGCAAGCGGAAUUCCCGGUGUAGCGGUGAAAUGCGCAGAUAUCAGGAGGAACACCGGUGGCGAAGGCGGCUUGCUGGGCCAGUUCUGACGCUGAGGAGCGAAAGCGUGGGGAGCGAACAGG
rnacentral:rRNA from 1 species